UACCCGCAGCACAAGUGGUGGUCAUUAUUAUUGGGCCUAAAGCGUCCGUAGCUGGCUUGUUAGAUGCCUGGGUAAAUCGAUGCGCUCAACGUAUCGAACUCCGGGUAGACCGGCAAGCUUGGGACCGGGAGAGGCGUGAGCUACUCGAGGGGUAGGGGCAAAAUCCUGUAAUCCUUCGGGGAGGACCAGUGGCGAAGGCGUCACGCUAGAACGGCUCCGACAGUGAGGGACGAAGCCCUGGGGCGCAAACCGG
rnacentral:rRNA from 1 species